rnacentral:tRNA from 1 species
CUGCGCCGGUGGCCUACGUGGAUUUCAACCCCGCGCCCUUUCGCAAGCACGCGUAUGUUCGAUUCG